rnacentral:lncRNA from 1 species
CAGAGGAUUUGAUUAUUGAGUUAUCUUUCUAUUCUGCUGCUGUCAGUAGAUUUGCCAUAAAUGUUUCCUGAGAGUCUCUCUCUUGAAGAGAUUCAGGCCCCAGUUAAGUUCAUCCCAAUUAAAAAUAGAACCCUGAGAUGCAGCAGCUGUAGCACCUCUUAAACCUCUUCAAAUAACAUUGUUUAGGCUGCCAAAUCUCUUUUAUAAACAUUUCGUUAGCUAGGUAGGAUUUUUAUAUACUUUCCCAAAGGGCCAAGUUGACAGACAUGGGCUUUCACUUUAUUUCCAUAGAGAUCUGGAUCCAAAUCCCUGGGUCCAAAUAUAUGCCAUUCACUUCCCAUAUUUAGUCCUGUUAUCUCUCUGAAGACUGGCCCAAGAGAGGCCUUUCUGAUGAGACAUUUAGCACAGCGAUUAAUCACUAGAUAAACAUGUGAAUGGGUCCAUUUGCAAAGUGAAAGCUCCCUAAACAGAGGCUUGUCCUUUACAAAAAGAGCAGGUCCAAUUUUCCUUAAAAGUUCAUGGUUGCCUAUGUGGUGUGAUUUGAGAAAUCCUGAACCUUCUGUUCCCAUUACUUUCCCUGUUGAGCUCUACAUUUCAUAGUGUAUCACUCCUGUGGAUGAAACCUGGCCUCUCCAGGGCAGUUUCUCUAAUAAAUGGCCAUAGUCCUGGGAAAGGUCCUGAUGCCUUAGUGUGCAGUGUGCUUGACACCAUAAGAUCCUUUCUUCUUUGAUAAAAAAAAAAAAAAAAAAGACUAAGACAAGAAAACUGGUGGCUGUUGGGGAAAGGUGUGGAAAGAAUGAAAGAAGAAAACCGAUGCAUGGAAAGAUGGUAAAGUACCAAUGGACCGGUGUGAGUCAGGUUCUGAAUUUAGGAGUGAGGACUCAAAUAUGCCUGUUUACUGGGUUAGCUUUUGGAACGAUCCUAUGGAACAUAUAUCCUAUGAACAUUAUAGAAGUCACUAAAGCUGACUGCAAAUUGAGUGUAAGUUGAGAGUAUCUUUCUGGAAAAACAAAUUGGAAAUAUUUAUCAAAGGGAUAAAGAACUUACAUAUAUUUAGAACCAAAAAUUUCAAUUGCAGGACUCUAUCCUAAGAAAAACAAUUAGCAAUGAACACGUUUCAACCCAAAGAUGUUCACUGGGACAUUAUUUAAAAUAGCAAAAAUAUUAGAACAAGUUACAUGUUUAUUAAUAGAGAAAUGAAUACUAUGGAAAUAAAUUUAUGCUGUAAAAGUGACCAAAUAAAGCUUGGCUCAGGGGCUCAUGCCUGUA